CCCAGACUCCUACGGGAGGCAGCAGUGGGGGAUAUUGCACAAUGGGGGAAACCCUGAUGCAGCGACGCCGCGUGGGCGAAGAAGUAUUUCGGUAUGUAAAGCCCUAUCAGCAGGGAAGAAGAAAUGACGGUACCUGAGUAAGAAGCACCGGCUAAAUACGUGCCAGCAGCCGCGGUAAUACGUAUGGUGCAAGCGUUAUCCGGAUUUACUGGGUGUAAAGGGAGCGCAGGCGGCACGGCAAGCCUGAUGUGAAAGCCCGCGGCCCAACCGCGGGACUGCAUUUGAAACUGUCAAGCUGGAGUGCAGGAGAGGUAAGUGGAAUUCCUAGUGUAGCGGUGAAAUGCGUAGAUAUUAGGAGGAACACCAGUGGCGAAGGCGGCUUACUGGACUGUAACUGACGUUGAGGCUCGAAAGCGUGGGGAGCAAACAGGAUUAGAUACCCGAGUA
rnacentral:rRNA from 1 species